GAUGAACGCUAGCUACAGGCUUAACACAUGCAAGUCGAGGGACCGGCGCACGGGUGAGUAACACGUAUCCAACCUGCCCUUUACUCGGGGAUAGCCUUUCGAAAGAAAGAUUAAUACCCGAUGUAAAGGAUGGGGAUGCGUUCCAUUAGGUUGUUGGUGAGGUAACGGCCCACCAAGCCUUCGUUGGAUAGGGGUUCUGAGAGGGAGGUCCACCGCAUUGGAACUGGGACACGAGCCAAACGCCUCCGGGAGGCAGCAGUGAAGGAUAUUGGUCAAUGGGCGGUAGCCUGAACCAGCCAAGUAGCGUGAAGGAUGAAGGCUUAUGGGUCGUAAACUUCUUUUAUAUAAGAAUAUGUAUUAUAGGAAUAAGGAUCGGCUAACUCCGUGCCAGCCGCCGCGGUAGUAC
rnacentral:rRNA from 1 species